AUCAGUGCAUGGUUUGUACAGGCUAGUGGAGCAAAGGAAGGGCUCAAGAAAAUCCUAGGAGUAAUUGAAGCAAGGGCUCCUAGCGAGGCUCAAGAAAAUCUUUUUCAGGAAAUGUGGAGUUGCAGGGGCUCACUCUUGAAAAGUGUGGGUGUUAUGAAUGGGCGGAUUACCUUGGCUUGAAAGGUGGUCCACUCCUAAUUGCACCGAGGCCUUUUAUGAUAAAACCCCACACCUAAAGGUCCAUUGGGCAUUCUCUAUUCCUAAGUGGUUAAUAUGGG
rnacentral:lncRNA from 1 species